ACGCUGGCGGCAUGCCUAACACAUGCAAGUCGAACGAGACCUUCGGGUCUAGUGGCGCACGGGUGCGUAACGCGUGGGAAUCUGCCCUUUGCUUCAGAAUAACAGUUAGAAAUGACUGCUAAUACCGGAUGAUGUCUUCGGACCAAAGAUUUAUCGGCAAAGGAUGAGCCCGCGUAGGAUUAGGUAGUUGGUGGGUAAAGGCCUACCAAGCCGACGAUCCUUAGCUGGUCUGAGAGGAUGAUCAGCCACACUGGGACUGAGACACGGCCCAGACUCCUACGGGAGGCAGCAGUGGGGAAUAUUGGACAAUGGGCGAAAGCCUGAUCCAGCAAUGCCGCGUGAGUGAUGAAGGCCUUCGGGUCGUAAAGCUCUUUUACCAGGGAUGAUAAUGACAGUACCUGGAGAAUAAGCUCCGGCUAACUCCGUG
rnacentral:rRNA from 1 species